GAGGGGCCGCGGCGGGCGCUGGAGGAGCUGCUCCUGGAGGGUGACCUGCUGGAGGUGACGCUGGAUGAGGGGCAGAGCCUCUGGAGGCUGCUGCAGGCCGCCCGGGCGCCCCCCGUCGACACCUUCCGCCACCUGCUGGAGCUGGAGCAGGCGGAGCGGCGCGGGGCCCGGGCGCGGGGCCGGGAUGCUGAGCGGCGCCGGAAGCGCCGGGCCGAGCGGGGGGAGCUGCCCCCCCUACCGAAGGAGGAGUUAGAGCCAAAGAGGAGCCGGGAGAGCGAGCCCCCCGAUGUGGCCCCCCCUGGGGCCGGCACCGACCACAGCCAGAACGGCGUUGGGCAGUUGUGACGCCGGCCCCCUCCUCCGGACCGGACGGCUGACGUGAUGGCGCCCUGACUGGUGGGGGAGGGGGGGGGCAGGGGGCGGAGCUGACCCCCCCCAGGACGCUCCCCGCCGGGGACCCCGGCCCGGACUCUGCCCAGUGAUGUAAUUAUUUUACGUUAUCCUUCCUUUUGUAUCAUGGAUACCUCGGCGCAGAGACUGGGAGCGGGGGGGCCAGGGGGCGCCGCCCCCCAGAACUGUGCCCCUCCGGAUUCACCGUGGACGUCUCGGGGACCCCUGAGAUACCAGCACAGCCAGAUCGGCCGGACCAGCGCCCCCCACUGGUUGGACUGACUCUGGGGGGACAGAUUCCCCCCCCUCACACACACACACUGCAGCCCUGCCCCCCCCUCCCCGGAGCUGCACAGCUGCCUCUCCAGCCCGGGAUGGGUUUUUUAUAGGAAUUGGGGGAACCACUUUGGGGUUUUUCGGGGGGUGGUGAGGGGG